UUCUUAAUCUAACCAACGAAGGUCGCAAGUCCUUGUGUAAUAGAGAGCGAGAA
rnacentral:ribozyme from 2 species